rnacentral:rRNA from 1 species
UACGAGGGGGGCGAGCGUUGUUCGGAAUUAUUGGGCGUAAAGGGUGCGUAGGCGGUUCGGUAAGUCUUAUGUGAAAUCUACAGGCUCAACUUGUAGUCUGCAUGAGAAACUGCCGGGCUUGAGUAUGGGAGAGGUGAGUGGAAUUCCUGGUGUAGCGGUGAAAUGCGUAGAUAUCAGGAGGAACACCUGUGGCGAAAGCGGCUCACUGGACCAUAACUGACGCUGAUGCACGAAAGCUAGGGGAGCAAACAGG